rnacentral:rRNA from 1 species
GUUUGAACUCAGAUCAUGUGCGGGGUAGAGGUCGAACAGACCUUGUGAAAAUAGCUUCUGCACUAUUUGUGGCCGCAAUUCAACAUCGAGGUCGCAAACAAUUAUUUUAAUAAGGGCUUAAAUAAUUAUAACGCUGUUAUCCCUAGAGUACCUUAUUCGUCUAAUUUAAUAA